AUUUGAAAUCUGGCCCUUACGGGUCCGAGUUGUAAUUUGUAGAGGAUGCUUUUGGCAAGGCGCCGCCGGAUGCACCCUGGAACGGGACGCCACAGAGGGUGAGAGCCCCGUCUGGCUGGCCGCCGAGCCUCUGUAAAGCUCCUUCGACGAGUCGAGUAGUUUGGGAAUGCUGCUCAAAAUGGGAGGUAUAUGUCUUCUAAAGCUAAAUAUUGGCCAGAGACCGAUAGCGCACAAGUAGAGUGAUCGAAAGAUGAAAAGCACCUUGAAAAGAGGGUUAAAUAGUACGUGGGGGAUGAUGGG
rnacentral:rRNA from 1 species